CAGUAGCCGCGGGAAACCGAAGGGUGCAAGCGUUACUCGGAAUUACUGGGCGUAAAGCGUGCGUAGGUGGUGGUUUAAGUCCGUUGUGAAAGCCCUGGGCUCAACCUGGGAAUUGCAGUGGAUACUGGGUCACUAGAGUGUGGUAGAGGAUAGUGGAAUUUCCGGUGUAGCAGUGAAAUGCGUAGAGAUCGGAAGGAACAUCUGUGGCGAAGGCGACUAUCUGGGCCAACACUGACACUGAGGCACGAAAGCGUGGGGAGCAAACAGGAUUAGAUACCCCGGUAGUCCCUGUCUCUUAUAC
rnacentral:rRNA from 1 species